GACAGAGGUCCCGAGCGUUAGGCGGAAUCACUGGGCUUAAAGCGUGUGUAGGCGGCGGCCUAAGUACCUUGUGAAAUCCCACGGCUCACCCGUGGAACUGCUCGGUAUACUGGGUCGCUUGAGCCACUUAGGGGCUACCGGAACAAAUGGUGGAGCGGUGAAAUGCGUAGAUAUCAUCAGGAACUCCGGUGGCGAAGGCGGCUCGCUGGACCUCUUCUGACGCUGAGGCGCGAAAGCCAGGGGAGCAAACGGG
rnacentral:rRNA from 1 species